AAGCACCCCUAAAGGGUGCCGGGGCUUCUCCCGUUUUAAGCGAGACGGGAGAAGA
rnacentral:tRNA from 1 species